rnacentral:tRNA from 1 species
UGGCUCAGAUGGUAAAGAAUCUGCCUGCAAAGCAGAAGACCAGGGAUCAAUCCCUG